GCCCGUUUGGCUCAGCGGUAGAGCGCCUCACUAGUAUCGUAGUUCUCAAGUGUUCUAUAAGAAAAUGAGGAGGCGACUGGUUCGACUCCAGUAAUGGGCA